rnacentral:rRNA from 1 species
AUUGAACGCUGGCGGCAGGCCUAACACAUGCAAGUCGAGCGGCAGCGGGUCCUUCGGGAUGCCGGCGAGCGGCGGACGGGUGAGUAAUGCCUAGGAAUCUGCCUGGUAGUGGGGGAUAACGUUCGGAAACGGACGCUAAUACCGCAUACGUCCUACGGGAGAAAGUGGGGGUUCUUCGGACCUCACGCUAUCAGAUGAGCCGAGGUCGGAUUAGCUAGUUGGUGAGGUAAAGGCUCACCAAGGCGACGAUCCGUAACUGGUCUGAGAGGAUGAUCAGUCACACUGGAACUGAGACACGGUCCAGACUCCUACGGGAGGCAGCAGUGGGGAAUAUUGGACAAUGGGCGAAAGCCUGAUCCAGCCGUGCCGCGUGUGUGAAGAAGGUCUUCGGAUUGUAAAGCACUUUAAGUUGGGAGGAAGGGCAGCUAGUUAAUACCUGGUUGUUUUGACGUUACCAACAGAAUAAGCACCGGCUAACUUCGUGCCAGCAGCCGCCGUAAUAC